AUUGAACGCUGGCGGCAGGCCUAACACAUGCAAGUCGAACGGUAACAGGAAACAGCUUGCUGUUUCGCUGACGAGUGGCGGACGGGUGAGUAAUGUCUGGGAAACUGCCUGAUGGAGGGGGAUAACUACUGGAAACGGUAGCUAAUACCGCAUAACGUCGCAAGACCAAAGAGGGGGACCUUCGGGCCUCUUGCCAUCGGAUGUGCCCAGAGGGGAUUAGCAAGUAGGUGGGGUAACGGCUCACCUAGGCGAAGAUCCCUAGCUGGUCUGAGAGGAUGACCAGCCACACUGGAACUGGGACACGGUCCAGACUCCUACGGGAGGCAGCAGUGGGGAAUAUUGCACAAUGGGCGCAAGCCUGAUGCAGCCAUGCCGCGUGUAUGAAGAAGGCCUUCGGGUUGUAAAGUACUUUCAGCGGGGAGGAAGGGAGUAAAGUCAAUACCUUUGCUCAUUGACGUUACCCGCAGAAGAAGCACCGGCUAACUCCGUGCCAGCCGCCGCGGUAA
rnacentral:rRNA from 1 species